rnacentral:rRNA from 1 species
CUACGGGUGGCAGCAGUGGGGAAUCUUAGACAAUGGGGGCAACCCUGAUCUAGCCAUGCCGCGUGAGUGAUGAAGGCCUUAGGGUUGUAAAGCUCUUUCAGCUGGGAAGAUAAUGACGGUACCAGCAGAAGAAGCCCCCGCUAACUCCGUGCCAGCAGCCGCGGUAAUACGGAGGGGGCUAGCGUUGGUCGGAAUUACUGGGCGUAAAGCGCACGUAGGCGGACCAGAAAGUUGGGGGUGAAAUCCCGGGGCUCAACCUCGGAACUGCCUUCAAAACUAUUGGUCUGGAGUUCGAGAGAGGUGAGUGGAAUUCCGAGUGUAGAGGUGAAAUUCGUAGAUAUUCGGAGGAACACCAGUGGCGAAGGCGGCUCACUGGCUCGAUACUGACGCUGAGGUGCGAAAGCGUGGGGAGCAAACAGGAUUAGAUACCCCAGUAGUC